rnacentral:RNase_P_RNA from 1 species
CGACGGGCGGGAACGGAUGGAACGGCGAAUCCUCGCCGGUGCAAGUCCGCGCCACAAGGUAGUCCGGCCACGGCGCGGACGCUCAGCCGAAUGUCGGGACGAACCGAAGGGGGCUUACUCCCCUCAGUC